rnacentral:rRNA from 1 species
AUGAACGCUAGCGACAGGCUUAACACAUGCAAGUCGAGGGGUAACAGGGUAGCAAUACCGCUGACGACCGGCGCACGGGUGAGUAACGCGUAUGCAACCUGCCUAUAACUGGGGAAUAGCUCCCUGAAAGGGGAAUUAACACCGCAUAACACUAUUGAUUCGCACGAAUUGGUAGUUAAAUGUAGCGAUACAGGUUAUAGAUGGGCAUGCGUGACAUUAGCUAGUUGGUGAGGUAACGGCUCACCAAGGCUACGAUGUCUAGGGGUUCUGAGAGGAAGGUCCCCCACACUGGUACUGAGACACGGACCAGACUCCUACGGGAGGCAGCAGUGAGGAAUAUUGGUCAAUGGGCGCAAGCCUGAACCAGCCAUGUCGCGUGCAGGAAGACUGCCCCCUAUGGGUUGUAAACUGCUUUUAUAGUAGAAGAAACACAUCUACGAGUAGAUGUCUGCCAGUAUACUAUGAAUAAGCAUCGGCUAACUCCGUGCCAGCAGCUGC